CCUACGGGUGGCAGCAGUGAGGAAUAUUGGUCAAUGGACGAGAGUCUGAACCAGCCAAGUAGCGUGAAGGAUGACUGCCCUAUGGGUUGUAAACUUCUUUUAUAUGGGAAUAAACUGUUCCACGUGUGGGUUUUUGUAUGUACCAUAUGAAUAAGGAUCGGCUAACUCCGUGCCAGCAGCCGCGGUAAUACGGAGGAUCCGAGCGUUAUCCGGAUUUAUUGGGUUUAAAGGGUGCGUAGGUGGAUUGUUAAGUCAGUUGUGAAAUUUUGCGACUCAACGUUAAAAUUGCAGUUGAUACUGGCAGUCUUGAGUGCAGUAGAGGUGGGCGGAAUGCGUGGUGUAGCGGUGAAAUGCUUAGAUAUCACGAAGAACUCCGAUUGCGAAGGCAGUUCACUGGACUGCAACUGACACUGAGGCUCGAAAGUGUGGGGAGCAAACAGGAUUAGAUACCCGUGUAGUC
rnacentral:rRNA from 1 species